rnacentral:rRNA from 1 species
UACGGGGGGGGCAAGCGUUGUCCGGAUUUACUGGGCGUAAAGGGCGUGCAGGCGGUUUGUUAAGUUCAGGGUGAAAGCUCCCGGCUCAACUGGGAGAGGUCCUUGGAUACUGGCGGACUCGAGGGAGGUAGAGGAGAGUGGAAUUCCCGGUGUAGUGGUGAUAUGCGUAGAUAUCGGGAGGAACACCAGUGGCGAAGGCGGCUCUCUGGGCCUUUCCUGACGCUGAGACGCGAAAGCGUGGGGAGCGAACCGG